UAAUGGAGCCAAUACACCCCGUGGGCUGUGGCCUGGCACCAGGCACUUGACCUAGAAGCAACCGUCCUGCACAGAGGUGAACAUUCAGGACGUGUUCUCAAAUGGUUAUUUUAGGAUCCUUAGGACUUUGAAGACUCUGAAAGGAAGGCUUAUUUUUGCAACCUCUCCUGAUAAGAAGAAGCAGGCCCUGGGCCACUCCCUACCACCCC
rnacentral:lncRNA from 1 species